rnacentral:rRNA from 1 species
CCCUUAGAUGUUCUGGGCUGCACGCGCGCUACACUGAUGCGCUCAACGAGCUUAUAACCUUGGCCGAGAGGCCUGGGCAAUCUUGUUAACGUGCAUCGUGAUAGGGAUAGAUUAUUGAAAUUAUUAAUCUUGAACGAGGAAUUCCUAGUAAACGCAGAUCAUCAAUCUGCAUUGAUUACGUCCCUGCCCUUUGUACACACCGCCCGUCGCACCUACCGAUUGGAUGGUCCGGUGAAGCCUCGGGAUUGUGGUUCUUGCCGCUUUAUUGUGGCGUGACCGCGAGAACUUGUCUAAACCUUAUCAUCUAGAGGAAGGUGAAGUCGUAACA